GAUGAACGCUGGCGGCGUGCCUAAUACAUGCAAGUCGAGCGAACAGACGAGGAGCUUGCUCCUCUGCCGUUAGAGGCGGACGUGUGAGUAACACGUGGAUACCCUACCUAUAAGACUGGGAUAACUACGGGAAACCGGAGCUAAUACCGGAUAAUAUAUUGCAUCGCAUGGUUCAAUAGUGAAAGGCGGUGUUGCUGUAACUUAUAGAUGGAUAACCGCUGCAUUAGCUAGUUGGUACGGAAACGGCUUACCAAGGCAACGAUGCGUAGCCGACGUGAGAGGGGGAUCGGCCACACGGGAACGGGGACACGAUCCAGACUCCUCUGGGAGGCAGCAGAAGGGAAUCUUACGCAACAGGAGGAAGGCUGGCGGAGCAACGCCGCGUGAGUUGCAGAGUGCUUGGGAUCGUGAAACUCUGUUAUUAGUGAAGAACAAAUGUGUAAGUAACUAGGCGCGUCUUGACGGUACCUAAUCAGAAAGCCACGGCUAACUACGUG
rnacentral:rRNA from 1 species